rnacentral:rRNA from 1 species
GAUAAACGCUGGCGGCGUGCCUAACACAUGCAAGUCGAACGCGCCCGCAGGGGCAACCCUGUGGGUGAGUGGCGGACGGGUGAGUAACACGUGGGUUAUCUACCUUGAGGUGAGGAAUACCGGCGAGAAAUCGCCGACAAUACCGCAUAGGUUCGGAACCUUCCGAACAAAGUCCCUUUGGGACGUCUCAAGAUGAGCCUGCGUCCGAUUAGCUUCGUUGGUGGGGUAAAAGCCUACCAAGGCGACGAUCGGUAGCUGGUCUGAGAGGACGAUCAGCCACACUGGGAUUGAGAACGGCCCAGACUCCUACGGGGGGCAGCAGUGAGGAAUUUUCGUCAAUGGGGGCAACCCUGAACGAGCAACGCCGCGUGCAGGAAGAAGGUUUUCGGAUCGUAAACUGCUUUUCUUGGGGAAGAGAAGGGACGGUACCCAAGGAAGAAGCCCCGGCUAACUACGUGCCAGCAGCCGCGGUAAUACGUAGGGGGCAAGCGUUGUCCGGAUUUAUUGGGCGUAAAGCGCACGCAGGCGGUCUUUCACGUUUUGAGUGACAGGUGGUGGCUUAACUGCCACAGGCCUCAAAAUACGGGAAGACUUGAGGGCUUGAGAGGGAUACGGAAUUCCAGGUGGAGCGGUGAAAUGCGUAGAGAUCUGGAAGAACACCAAAGGCGAAGGCAGUAUCCUGGCAAGUCACUGACGCUCAGGUGCGAAAGCUAGGGGAGCGAACGGGAUUAGAUACCCCGGUAGUCCUAGCCGUAAACGAUGACCACUAGACGUGGGGGGUAUCGACCCCUUCCGUGUCGCAGCUAACGCAUGAAGUGGUCCGCCUGGGGAGUACGGUCGCAAGAUUAAAACUCAAAGGAAUUGACGGGGACCCGCACAAGCAGCGGAGCGUGUGGUUUAAUUCGAUGCAACGCGAAGAACCUUACCAAGGCUUGACAUGGAUGUGCACCAGCCGUAAUGGGCUGUCCCGAGAGGGCGCAUUCACAGGUGCUGCAUGGCUGUCGUCAGCUCGUGUCGUGAGAUGUUGGGUUAAGUCCCGCAACGAGCGCAACCCUUGCCCCGUGUUACUAACAGGUAAAGCUGAGGACUCUCGGGGGACUGCCGGCGUCAAGCCGGAGGAAGGUGGGGACGACGUCAAGUCAUCAUGGCCCUUACGUCCAGGGCGACACACGUGCUACAAUGGCCGAGACAGAGGGCGGCUAACCCGCGAGGGGGAGCGAAUCCCAGAAACUCGGUCUAAGUUCGGAUCGCAGUCUGCAACUCGACUGCGUGAAGCCGGAAUCGCUAGUAAUCGCGGAUCAGCCACGCCGCGGUGAUACGUUCCCGGGC